UACCAGCACCCCGAGUGGUCGGGACGUUUAUUGGGCCUAAAGCAUCCGUAGCCGGUUCUGCAAGUCUUCCGUUAAAUCCACCUGCUUAACAGAUGGGCCGCGGAAGAUACUAUAGAGCUAGGAGGCGGGAGAGGCAAGCGGUACUCGGUGGGUAGGGGUAAAAUCCGUUGAUCCAUUGAAGACCACCAGUGGCGAAGGCGGCUUGCCAGAACGCGCUCGACGGUGAGGGAUGAAAGCUGGGGGAGCAAACCGG
rnacentral:rRNA from 1 species